ACGAACGCUGGCGACGUGCUUAACACAUGCCAGUCGAACGGAAAGGCCCUGCUUUUGUGGGGUGCUCGAGUGGCGAACGGGUGAGUAACACGUGAGUAACCUGCCCUUGACUUUGGGAUAACUUCAGGAAACUGGGGCUAAUACCGGAUAGGAGCUCCUGCUGCAUGGUGGGGGUUGGAAAGUUUCGGCGGUGGGGGAUGGACUCGCGGCUUAUCAGCUUGUUGGUGGGGUAGUGGCUUACCAAGGCUUUGACGGGUAGCCGGCCUGAGAGGGUGACCGGCCACAUUGGGACUGAGAUACGGCCCAGACUCCUACGGGAGGCAGCAGUGGGGAAUAUUGCACAAUGGGCGGAAGCCUGAUGCAGCAACGCCGCGUGCGGGAUGACGGCCUUCGGGUUGUAAACCGCUUUCGCCUGUGACGAAGCGUGAGUGACGGUAAUGGGUAAAGAAGCACCGGCUAACUACGUG
rnacentral:rRNA from 1 species